CAGAGGGAAGACUUCAUUUGAUUAUUUACAGCAAAGGUUCAGAGAAGACUUCAUUUGAUUAUUUACAGCAAAGGUUCAGAGAAGACGUCAUUUGACUAUUUACAGCAAAGGUUCAGAGAAGACUUAAUUUGACUAUUUACAGCAGAGGUUCAGAGAGAAGACUUCAUUUGAUUAUUUACAGCAAAGGUUCAGAGAAGACUUCAUUUGACUAUUUACAGCAAAGGUUCAGAGAAGACUUCAUUUGACUAUUUACAGCAGAGGUUCAGAGAGAAGACUUAAUUUGACUAUUUACAGUAGAGGUUCAGAGAAGACUUCAUUUGAUUAUUUACAGCAAAGGUUCAGAGAAGACUUCAUUUGACUAUUUACAGCAAAGGUUCAGAGAGAAGACUUCAUUUGAUUAUUUACAGCAGAGGUUCAGAGAGAAGACUUAAUUUGACUGUUUACAGCAGAGGUUCAGAGAGAAGACUUCAUUUGACUGUUUACAGCAGAGGUUCAGAGAGAAGACUUAAUUUGACUGUUUACAGCAGAGGUUCAGAGAGAAGACUUCAUUUGAC
rnacentral:lncRNA from 1 species